rnacentral:rRNA from 1 species
CAGCAGCCGCGGGAAUACGGAGGGGGCUAGCGUUGUUCGGAAUUACUAGGCGUAAAGCGCACGUAGGCGGCUUGGUAAGUUAGAGGUGAAAGCCCGGAGCUCAACUCCGGAAUUGCCUUUAAGACUGCCGAGCUAGUAGGUGAGAGAGGUAAGUGGAAUUCCGAGUGUAGAGGUGAAAUUCGUAGAUAUUCGGAAGAACACCAGUGGCGAAGGCGGCUUACUGGCUCAUUCUAGACGCUGAGGUGCGAAAGCGUGGGGAGCAAACAGGAUUAGAUACCCCCGUAGUCCCUGUCUCUUAUAC